rnacentral:rRNA from 1 species
CCCGCUGAACUUAAGCAUAUCAAUAAGCGGAGGAAAAGAAACUAACAAGGAUUCCCCUAGUAACGGCGAGUGAAGCGGGAACAGCUCAAAUUUGAAACCUGGCGUCCUUCGGGCGUCCGGAUUGUAUUCUAGAGAAGCGUCUUCCACGCUGGUCCAUGUAUAAGUGCCCUGGAACGGGCUGUCAUAGAGGGUGAGAAUCCCGUCCUUGACAUGGGCUACCAGUGUUUUUGUGAUGCGCUUUCUAAGAGUCGAGUUGUUUGGGAAUGCAGCUCAAAGUGGGUGGUAAAUUCCAUCUAAAGCUAAAUAUUGGCCUGAGACCGAUAGCGAACAAGUACCGUGAGGGAAAGAUGAAAAGCACUUUGAAAAGAGAGUCAAACAGUACGUGAAAUUGCUGAAAGGGAAACGCUUGAAGUCAGUCGCGCCCCCUGGAAUUCAGCCCUGCUUUUGUAGGGUGUACUUUCCAGGGGGUGGGCCAACAUCAGUUUUGACCGGCAGAUAAAGGCUGGGGGAAUGUGGCUCCUUUCGGAGUGUUAUAGCCCCCGGUCACAUAUGCCGGUUGGGGCUGAGGAUCGCAGCGCGCCCUUGUGGCAGGCCUUCGGGCACUUUCGCGCUUAGGAUGUUGGCAUAAUGGCUUUAAGCGACCCGUCUUGAAACACGG